CAUAAGCUUAUGAUUUCUUUUUUCUUACGAAUUUUGCGUCCCACAUCGGUAAGCGAGUGAAGAAAUAACUGCUUUAUAUAUGGCUACAAAGCACCAUUGGUCACGACCUUACUUGAACAGGAUCUGUUCUAUAGGCUCGUACCUCUGUUUCCUUGAUUUCUCAAGAGACAGGCCCUUAACCCUGGUUGAUGAACCAUGACCGUGCGGCUAGAGCGUGAUUGACGGCUACGAUCGUCCUCGGACGCAUCCGGUGCUGUAGAGGAUCGUUACUCGGCUCGGUUCUACCUUGCCGGGGUGGUCGCACGGCGGUCUGACAGGUUCUUUUAUUUUUUCACCCUCAAAACUUUGAAUGAAUUUCUUC